GUUGUUGAUACUUUGUGAAUUUCUAGUGACUCUUUUUUUUUUUGUUCAAUGUUUAAAUUUUUUAUGUGAUAUUUACAAAAUAAUUCAGCAUUGCAAUUGAAAGUUAAUUUUUAUUACUCACUAAUGGUGUGUCGUAAUGGUACUAAAAACCAUUUUUGAUUUCUCAUUUUCAGUAUAUCUAGAAUUUCUUUUAAGUUAAGUGUUACAUCAAGUGGGUUAAAAAAUAACUUACACUCAUUUAAAUUCACAUUAUACUCUCCUCCAGUUUCCCUUAUUUUAGUUGCAACAAAAUGGAAAUAUUUAGCUGAUUCAUAGGGAGUUCGAAAGGCAGGAUACACCUGAUCAAACUUUGGGCCAAAUAUUUUGAAAAUGUUUCUGCCCUGAGGAUCUUGUGAGAUAUCGUCAACAACAACAACAGCAUUAUUUCUCAUCAAGACAACAUUAUUUGGGAAACGGUUAGUCAAUUUAAAAUUUGGGAAAGUAAUUUAUUUCAUUUCAUCUUCACUCUUAAGGUUAUUGUGUUCGACCACAAUUUUUGUCGAUUCAAUUUUUCAUAUUUCCCACUUUUUAAUUUGGAUAUCAAAUUCCAUUUUGUUAUUGAUUAUGGAGCCGUCAGACAGAAAAAAAUGUUUGGUGUGGGCAAGCGAAAGAAAAUUCCAAGCUCAAAAUUGCAAGAUGCAGCAGCUUUGGUUGUUGUGAAACCGAGAAGAGGUAAACCACAAAAAGUGACAAAUACUACGACUGAGAAUGAAGGAAACAAUCAGCCAUCUUAUUCCAUCGUUCAUCGUAUUGACAGUGGGUCACCUUCUGUCGGCCGGAAUCAUUUUCCGACUGGGAAUGCAGGAAGCAAUUUUCCAAAUGUCCCUUUCGUUCGUCAGCCUGACACUGUCCUCACUAAUAUUCCGACUGCGAAUGCAGGAAACGAUUCGCCAUUUUUCCCUUUCGUUCAUCCAACCAACUGAUUGUAGCCACCUUCUGCCGCGAAUAACAAUCCAACUGGGAAUGAAGGAAACAAUUUGCCAUUUGUCACUUUUUUCGUUCGUCUGACAUUGGGCAACUGUCCUCACUAAUAUUCCGACUGGGAAUGUAGGAAACAAUUUGCCAUGUUUUCCAUCCGUUCAUCCGACUGACAGAUUGUGGGCAUCUUAUGCCCGAAUAAUACUCCGACUUGAAAUGUAAUUGCCAAUAUCUGGUCAAAGGCAAACAACAUCCCGAAACAAGACGUCCAGGAUUUCAUUGAUCGCUGCAAGAGAAUCAGAAAACAAGACUCAUACACACACAGAGGCAACACCAAGCAGCAUGUUGUGUCAUCUGAAAGAACCAAUGCGCCUCGUCAAUUGAAAGACGAUAUUCAAGUAUUACUGGAAAAAAAAGUUGCUCAUCUUGAAAAGUUGAUAGAAAAGUUUGACAAGUAAUCGUUUAAACCAAGUUAGUAUAAUUAUUAUCGUACUGUUCUAUCGUUUGAACGAUUACUUGUCAUUAUUUUCUAUCAACUUUUCAAGAUAAGAUAUUGAUUGGCUAAAUUCUAGACACCAGACAGGAGAUAGGGACCUCUUAUGAAAAUCGUUUCGAAUUCCAGAAAACAAAUUGCAAAAGUUGCCACUACCAGAAAUGCAUGGAAAUUGGAAUGAAGAAAGAAAUUAAGAAAGAAAAGAAGAAGUAUAAAGAAGGAAAGAAGAAAAGAAAAACCGAAAGUGUGACGAAUGUUCCUUGCUUAAGAAUGAAGAAAUUACAUUCGCCACAAGACAAUGUCUAUUACGCCAUAGAAAAACAUGUCAUGAGCAAAUAAAAUACAAAUGCAAAGUCCUCGGAUGCACCAGAGUCUUUAGCAACUUAGGAACUUGUUCAAGACAUUCCAACAAUCCUCACCCUCACGUACAUGAUCCAUGUCGUAAGCAAACCAA